CAGCAAGCCAUGCUCGCCAUCAUGAAGCUGAGCAAAAUGAAGCUACCGGUGCGGAUCCUGACACAACCCAGCCUGCUCGCCACCUGCUUCUCCAGCAUCUUCUCCCUGCCUCCAGCACACACCAUGGAGGAGGUGGAGGCUGCUCUCUACACCAAAACUUUGAAAACCAUGGAUGAGAUGCUGAAGGCC